rnacentral:rRNA from 1 species
CCCUUAGAUGUUCUGGGCCGCACACGCGCUACACUGAAGGAGGCAGCGUGUACUCCUGGAUCGAAAGAUUUGGGUAACCCGCGAAUCUCCUUCGUGCUAGGGAUUGAGGUUUGCAAUUAUCCUUCAUGAACGAGGAAUUCCCAGUAAGUGCAAGUCAUAAGCUUGCGCUGACUACGUCCCUGCCCUUUGUACACACCGCCCGUCGCACCUACCGAUUGAAUGGUCCGGUGAAAUCCUCGGAUCGAGCCGUGGGGCAACUCCGGUUCGAGAAGUUGAUUAAACCUUACCAUUUAGAGGAAGGUGAAGUCGUAACA